rnacentral:rRNA from 1 species
UAGAGAUUCUUGUUUAUCUUAGUGGCGGACGGGUGAGUAACGCGUGAGCAACCUGCCUUUCAGAGGGGGAUAACGUCUUGAAAAGGACGCUAAUACCGCAUGAUAUUAUGGAGCCACAUGGCUCUAUAAUCAAAGGAGCAAUCCGCUGAAAGAUGGACUCGCGUCCGAUUAGCUAGUUGGCGGGAUAAAGGCCCACCAAGGCGACGAUCGGUAGCCGGACUGAGAGGUUGAACGGCCACAUUGGGACUGAGACACGGCCCAGACUCC